rnacentral:rRNA from 1 species
UACGUAGGGUGCGAGCGUUAAUCGGAAUUACUGGGCGUAAAGCGUGCGCAGGCGGUUUUGUAAGCCAGAUGUGAAAGCCCCGGGCUCAACCUGGGAAUGGCAUUUGGGACUGCAAGGCUGGAGUUUGGCAGAGGAGACUGGAAUUCCUGGUGUAGCAGUGAAAUGCGUAGAUAUCAGGAGGAACACCGGUGGCGAAGGCGGGUCUCUGGGCCGAUACUGACGCUGAGGAGCGAAAGCGUGGGGAGCGAACAGG